rnacentral:rRNA from 1 species
GUAAGGAAUAUUGGACAAUGGACGCAAGUCUGAUCCAGCCAUGCCGCGUGAAGGAUUAAGGUCCUCUGGAUUGUAAACUUCUUUUAUAAGGGACGAAAAAAGGCUUUUCUAAGUCGUCUGACGGUACCUUAUGAAUAAGCACCGGCUAACUCCGUGCCAGCAGCCGCGGUAAUACGGAGGGUGCAAGCGUUAUCCGGAUUCACUGGGUUUAAAGGGUGCGUAGGCGGGCAGGUAAGUCAGUGGUGAAAUCCUAGAGCUUAACUCUAGAACUGCCAUUGAUACUAUCUGUCUUGAAUAUUGUGGAGGUAAGCGGAAUAUGUCAUGUAGCGGUGAAAUGCUUAGAUAUGACAUAGAACACCUAUUGCGAAGGCAGCUUACUACGCAUACAUUGACGCUGAGGCACGAAAGCGUGGGGAUCAAACAGGAUUAGAUACCCUGGUAGUCC